AUGAGAAUAAGGGGAGAGACUGUGUAUACAGCGCCGAAGGAGCAAGCAUUCAUGUGAAUCUCUCAGGCAAAAGAACCCUUGUUGGACG
rnacentral:ncRNA from 2 species